UGAGGAAUAUUGGUCAAUGGACGAGAGUCUGAACCAGCCAAGUAGCGUGAAGGAUGAAGGUUCUAUGGAUUGUAAACUUCUUUUAUACGGGAAUAAACGGAUCCACGCGUGGAUUUUUGCAUGUACCGUAUGAAUAAGGAUCGGCUAACUCCGUGCCAGCAGCCGCGGUAAUACGGAGGAUCCGAGCGUUAUCCGGAUUUAUUGGGUUUAAAGGGAGCGUAGAUGGGUUGUUAAGUCAGUUGUGAAAGUUUGCGGCUCAACCGUAAAAUUGCAAUUGAUACUGGCAGUCUUGAGUACAGUUGAGGUAGGCGGAAUUCGUGGUGUAGCGGUGAAAUGCUUAGAUAUCACGAAGAACUCCGAUUGCGAAGGCAGCUUACUAACCUGUAACUGACAUUGAUGCUCGAAAGUGUGGGUAUCAAACAGG
rnacentral:rRNA from 2 species